rnacentral:misc_RNA from 1 species
GAUGAAGAACGUAGCGAAAUGCGAUAAGUAAUGUGAAUUGCAGAAUCCAGUGAAUCAUCGAAUCUUUGAACGCACAUUGCGCCCGCCAGCAUUCUGGCGGGCAUGCCUGUUCGAGCGUCAUUUCAACCCUCGACCUCCCUUUGAGGAAGUCGGCGUUGGGGACCGGCAGCACACCGCCGGCCCUGAAAUGGAGUGGCGGCCCGUCCGCGGCGACCUCUGCGUAGUAAACCAACUCGCACCGGAACCCCGACGUGGCCACGCCGUAAAACACCCAACUUCUGAACGUUGACCUCGAAUCAGGUAGGACUACCCGCUGAACUUAAGCAUAUCAAUAAGCGGAGGA